UGGUCUCUAUCCCUGCAUGAAUCAGGUCGCCUGUUCACACCUGCACACCCCAUCUGUGCCAUGGAGUCUGUAGGGAUCACUGAGUGCAAUGGUCAGAAGAUAGAUAGAGGCAGGUCGUUAUCAAUAUUUCGUCUCAUCAUCUGAGUCCACUUCUGAGAAGCUCUUUGAGAAAGAUGUGCAGUUCUAGAGAUCUCGUGCUGCGUUGCCAUGCAGGCAGUGGUGGGUGGCUGGUCAGCUCUCUUGUCUCCGUCGGUCAGGUCAGGACAAGCAGGUGCCCCGGCCGAGUGAGACAUCUACUUAAGUGAUAGCUAAGAGAGGUCAAAUGUACCGUUGAAUUGACUGAUUUACUUGUUAAAAGGAUAUCUAAUCCACGACAUGUCAUCAAGCGUCCUAAACGAGUCCUGUGCAUGCUGCCUAAUUAUUCUGCAUAUCCAACAGCAGGUACGGUGUCGUCAACUUCAUAUGAUAUAUUAAAUUGAUGAUCCGAGCAAGGUCAAAUGGUUCCUUUGUCGCUGGCUGAACUCUGAUGGCUGAUCCAGCUUUAAUAUGCUGUCCUUCUCCUGUUAUUUUACCUUUUGCAUUGUCCAGCAGGAAGUCGUUGCUGCCGGCCCUUUCAGGCAUGUAUCCUGCAAAAUGCAGCCAGCAGGUACUGACUCUGGUAUUUGUUUGCUUGUUGCCAAUCUGGACAAUAAUUAUGAUGUCAUGGUCCAUUAGAGAAUUCCUCACUUGUAACUGAUUUCUUUUUCUCAUGGGGUGGGAGUGGGAAACAGCGUGCGGUGAAGACGUUUGCGCAGCCCAGAUUCAGUGGUUUUCACGGUUCAUUUGUGCUGAAUUGAUAUAGUGCAUGGAAAUAUACCUGAGUUUCGGUGUUAUGUGAUGGAAAUUAGCUUUCCAUGUUUAAGUUCGGCUCCAGCUCCAUCAGUAUAAAGCAUGUCCUUCGGAGAAAUAUUAUCCGUCCUCAAACCAAAUGGCAAGUAAAGGUACCAUAGUUUGGCUGCCAGAAGUCAUGAAACCAAACUGCUAGCCCCCAACAACAUAUGCAUCCUUGACAGUCAUCCGCCUGGAGAAUGCAGUUCUAGACUUCUAGUGACCUCGUGCGGCAUUGGCAUGUACUCCCUCCGAUCCAUAUUAAUUGUCAAAAUAUUACAUGUAUCUAGACGCUUUUCAUAUUUGAGCAAAUUUGAGACAAUUGGAGGGAGUAUGUACUAUGUAGCCAGUGGUGGGUGGUCAACUCAACUCUGUCAUCGCCAUCGCCCAGGAGGCAGCAUGGUCGCCCGAGUGAGACAUGGAUUGGUGUUAGCUUCAGUCAGAUGCGCUCAUGGGUGGAGCCACCGUGGGGGCACCACGGGCACGUGCCCGGGCUCCAGGCCGCCUUCUGCGGAGCUUCGUCGAACCAUGGUGAAGGAUGGAAGGGUCUGGAACCUGCUGUGCCCCCGAAGACGACGAACAAUCGAGUAGAUUGAUCUGUUCUGUCCGGGCUGGGCCACAGCAGUUCGUCUCCCCUUCUGUUUUACUGGGCCUCGAAACUUUGAAUUUAGUUCUGGGCUCUUCUGGAUGCAUGGCGUCGUAAAAUAAUAGUAAUACCAAUAAACAUUGCAUCAACUAUUUUUUUAUCUAUAUAUUUGUAUAUAGCAUUGAAUUACUUAAUCAAGCAAAGCUGUUCUAGAGGGAGGCCCGGCCAUGCAUGGAUAAUAUAUAUCCAGCAGCAGGUACGUACAAUGUCGUCAACCUCAAAUGAUGCUACUACUAAUUAAACUGCUGCUGGCCAAUGUGAUGGAGCAAAGGUCAAAUUAAUACUCAAAUGGUACCUUUGUCGCUGGGCCAAAAUCCGACGGCCGAUCCAGCUAUUAUGCUGUCUUCUUCUCGGUCAUUUGACCCUGUUACAUCGCAUCCGUGAGGAAGUCUGGCCGUUUCAGGCGCCAUGCAUCCAGAAGAGAAAUGCAGCCGAUGGAUAUAUAGAUGCCGACCGUGCCUGCAUCAGCACACACACGUACUGAUCUCGGGGAUUUGUUUACUUGCCCCUGCGAUGCCAUGGUCCACUGGCUAGCUAGGGAGAGUUCUAGCUUCGCAUGUAAAUUAACUGAUUUAUUCUCUUGAAUGUGCAUUGCGCUGAAGAUGGUGAA